UACAGAGGGGGCAAGCGUUGUUCGGAAUUACUGGGCGUAAAGGGCGCGUAGGCGGCCUUUCUAAGUCGAACGUGAAAUCCCUGGGCUCAACCCAGGAACUGCGUCCGAUACUGGAAGGCUUGAAUCCGGGAGAGGGAUGCGGAAUUCCAGGUGUAGCGGUGAAAUGCGUAGAUAUCUGGAGGAACACCGGUGGCGAAGGCGGCAUCUGGACCGUAUUGACGCUGGAGGCGCGAAAAGCCAGGGGAGCAAAGCGGGGG
rnacentral:rRNA from 1 species